rnacentral:rRNA from 1 species
CGAGUGGCGGACGGGGGAGUAAUGUCUGGGAAACUGCCUGAUGGAGGGGGAUAACUACUGGAAACGGUAGCUAAUACCGCAUAACGUCGCAAGACCAAAGAGGGGGACCGUUCGGGCCUCUUGCCAUCGGACGUGCCCAGAUGGGAUUAGCUAGUAGGUGGGGUAACGGCUCACCUAGGCGACGAUCCCUAGCUGGUCUGAGAGGAUGACCAGCCACACUGGAACUGAGACACGGUCCAG